AUUGAACGCUGGCGGCAUGCCUUACACAUGCAAGUCGAACGGCAGCACGGGAGCAAUCCUGGUGGCGAGUGGCGAACGGGUGAGUAAAGUAUCGGAACGUGCCCAGUCGUGGGGGAUAACGUAGCGAAAGUUACGCUAAUACCGCAUACGAUCUAUGGAUGAAAGCGGGGGAUCGCAAGACCUCGCGCGAUUGGAGCGGCCGAUAUCAGAUUAGGUAGUUGGUGGGGUAAAGGCUCACCAAGCCGACGAUCUGUAGCUGGUCUGAGAGGACGACCGACCACACUGGGACUGAGACACGGCCCAGACUCCUACGGGAGGCAGCAGUGGGGAAUUUUGGACAAUGGGCGAAAGCCUGAUCCGGCCAUGCCGCGUGCAGGAUGAAGGCCUUCGGGUUGUAAACUGCUUUUGUACGGAACGAAAAGGUUUGGGCUAAUAAGCUGAGCUCAUGACGGUACCGUAAGAAUAAGCACCGGCUAACUACGUGCCAGCCGCCGCGGUAAAAC
rnacentral:rRNA from 1 species